rnacentral:rRNA from 2 species
AAAUUGAAGAGUUUGAUCAUGGCUCAGAUUGAACGCUGGCGGCAGGCCUAACACAUGCAAGUCGAACGGUAACAGGAAGCAGCUUGCUGCUUCGCUGACGAGUGGCGGACGGGUGAGUAAUGUCUGGGAAACUGCCUGAUGGAGGGGGAUAACUACUGGAAACGGUGGCUAAUACCGCAUAACGUCGCAAGACCAAAGAGGGGGACCUUCGGGCCUCUUGCCAUCAGAUGUGCCCAGAUGGGAUUAGCUUGUUGGUGAGGUAACGGCUCACCAAGGCGACGAUCCCUAGCUGGUCUGAGAGGAUGACCAGCCACACUGGAACUGAGACACGGUCCAGACUCCUACGGGAGGCAGCAGUGGGGAAUAUUGCACAAUGGGCGCAAGCCUGAUGCAGCCAUGCCGCGUGUAUGAAGAAGGCCUUCGGGUUGUAAAGUACUUUCAGCGGGGAGGAAGGUGUUGCGGUUAAUAACCGCAGCAAUUGACGUUACCCGCAGAAGAAGCACCGGCUAACUCCGUGCCAGCAGCCGCGGUAAUACGGAGGGUGCAAGCGUUAAUCGGAAUUACUGGGCGUAAAGCGCACGCAGGCGGUCUGUCAAGUCGGAUGUGAAAUCCCCGGGCUCAACCUGGGAACUGCAUUCGAAACUGGCAGGCUUGAGUCUUGUAGAGGGGGGUAGAAUUCCAGGUGUAGCGGUGAAAUGCGUAGAGAUCUGGAGGAAUACCGGUGGCGAAGGCGGCCCCCUGGACAAAGACUGACGCUCAGGUGCGAAAGCGUGGGGAGCAAACAGGAUUAGAUACCCUGGUAGUCCACGCCGUAAACGAUGUCUACUUGGAGGUUGUGCCCUUGAGGCGUGGCUUCCGGAGCUAACGCGUUAAGUAGACCGCCUGGGGAGUACGGCCGCAAGGUUAAAACUCAAAUGAAUUGACGGGGGCCCGCACAAGCGGUGGAGCAUGUGGUUUAAUUCGAUGCAACGCGAAGAACCUUACCUGGUCUUGACAUCCACAGAACUUUCCAGAGAUGGAUUGGUGCCUUCGGGAACUGUGAGACAGGUGCUGCAUGGCUGUCGUCAGCUCGUGUUGUGAAAUGUUGGGUUAAGUCCCGCAACGAGCGCAACCCUUAUCCUUUGUUGCCAGCGAUUAGGUCGGGAACUCAAAGGAGACUGCCAGUGAUAAACUGGAGGAAGGUGGGGAUGACGUCAAGUCAUCAUGGCCCUUACGACCAGGGCUACACACGUGCUACAAUGGCGCAUACAAAGAGAAGCGACCUCGCGAGAGCAAGCGGACCUCAUAAAGUGCGUCGUAGUCCGGAUUGGAGUCUGCAACUCGACUCCAUGAAGUCGGAAUCGCUAGUAAUCGUGGAUCAGAAUGCCACGGUGAAUACGUUCCCGGGCCUUGUACACACCGCCCGUCACACCAUGGGAGUGGGUUGCAAAAGAAGUAGGUAGCUUAACCUUCGGGAGGGCGCUUACCACUUUGUGAUUCAUGACUGGGGUGAAGUCGUAACAAGGUAACCGUAGGGGAACCUGCGGUUGGAUCACCUCCUUA